CAUUAGAGUGUGCACCCUAAACCACAAACACACGCCACGUGUGUGUGUGUGUGUGUGUGUGUGUGUAUGUAUCAUAUAUAUAUAUAUAUAUAUUACACACACACACACACACACACACGGCGUGUGUUUGUGGUUUAGGGUGCACACC